rnacentral:rRNA from 1 species
UACGUAGGGUGCGAGCGUUACUCGGAAUUACUGGGCGUAAAGCGUGCGUAGGCGGUUCGUUAAGUUCGUUGUGAAAGCCCCGGGCUCAACCUGGGAAUGGCAAUGGAAACUGGCGGGCUGGAGUAUGGCAGAGGGGGGUGGAAUUCCGCGUGUAGCAGUGAAAUGCGUAGAGAUGCGGAGGAACCCCGAUGGCGAAGGCAGCCCCCUGGGCCAAUACUGACGCUCAGGCACGAAAGCGUGGGGAGCAAACAGG